UACGAAGGGGGCUAGCGUUGCUCGGAAUCACUGGGCGUAAAGGGUGCGUGGGCGGGUCUUUAAGUCAGGGGUGAAAUCCUGGAGCUCAACUCCGGAACUGCCUUUGAUACUGAGGAUCUUGAGUUCGGGAGAGGUGAGUGGAACUGCGAGUGUAGAGGUGAAAUUCGUAGAUAUUCGCAAGAACACCAGUGGCGAAGGCGGCUCACUGGCCCGAUACUGACGCUGAGGCACGAAAGCGUGGGGAGCAAACAGG
rnacentral:rRNA from 1 species